CGCCCCGCGGAGGGGCAGGGCUGCGCCCCCGAUCCUCUGCCAGCAAUGGAAGGCCCUCCCCCGUGUGCACACGGCUGCGUUUACCCCUCGGGGCAGGGCCGUCUGGACGCACGGGCCCGUGGGCCCCGUCCUGAUCUGUGCGUGUUAACCCUUGGAAAAUGGGAAAACUUCCAGAACCGACAGUCGGUGCCGUGGGGGCCCCAGCGCGCUGCUUCUCCAGGGCCCAUCACUGCUGGUCUGGAAUGGUUUACCGAGGGCUUCGUGGCCACAACGCUUCUGCUGAGCAAGGGACCCUGAGACACAGAAACACAGAAACAGAGUGAGUCAGAAGGGGCCUCCCGGGCCAUCUAGUCUGACCUCCAGCUCCAGCCGGCUUCACUCACGACAUGCCCACCAUGUGCAUGUGACUUUCCGGAGGAGCUUGGCCACUGAGGGAAACAAGCUAUAGAAUGAGGCAGGUAUAUUUAGUUUCGCCUCUGCAGCAAGAAAGACCAGAAGGAAAGAACGAGAUGUAAUUGUUGUCAACUUUUGAAGCUCGACUUCAGUGAAAGGUUUUUUAUUUUUAAAAAUCUUAUAUUCCACUGCGAUUAAUCAGCGCAGUAGCCGGGGUCCUUGCACAAAGCCAGUGAGAGAACGCUGCGGCUUGCAGAUGGAGCCAGAUGGAAACCUGCAUUCGUUGGAGCCGGCCGUGGAAAUGUUAACCAGAAGCUUAUGCUAUGGAUCAGUUGCACUGCUGGCUGUGCCGGGUGGUUGCCAAAAUUACAAAUGACCUGGAAUGAGCAGAGAUGGCCAACUCCAUCAAAAUUCGAGAGGAUUUAGGGAGCCCAGGGCACUAGAUGGAAUAGAUUCGGCUGGGAAGUUGCCCUCUUGUUGUCUGGCUAUUUCAGACUGACAGAUGCUUACCUGCGAGAACAGCGCUGGGGGUUCUUCUCUUGCCACAUGGCUUACCGGUAGCUUGGCCUGACCCAGACAGAGGGUCUGGAUGACAUGACAGCGCACUGUGGGCCAAGCAAACCCACCUACCAGCCGUGGGUUCUCAGGAUGGCUUGUACGGCCCACAUAAGCCACCCCGGCACAGUCAUCCCAGGUUCGUGCCACAUGAGCAUGUGAACCCCGGCGCUUCAGUUCGGUCCAGAUCGGGCACCCUGCACCUCUUUGCAUUGGGAGAGGAAGACGGCCGUUCACAGCCAGGCCUCCUGGGCACUCCAGGGCAAGAUAAGAAGCCAGCCUGCAACGGGGGUUAGAAGCGAUUACUCAAGUGCCGUCAUGGAAUGAUAACUCUUGCAAUGCUUUCAGACACAUUUUCAGAAGCCUCGAGGGAGAUCUGCUGAGCUGUGAGGAGAAGGGAGAAAACAAGUUUGCUCCCACCAGAGGGUGAUCCAGGAGGGUGGCAGAUUCGUCUUCUCUUCGUCUGAGUCCUGUUAAGCCACAGCUCAUUCUCUGAGCACGUAUUGCAAUCUUCCCCAACUUCAUGCCCUCCAGGUGCGUCUGAUGACAGCUCUUAUCAUCCCUGAGAGCUGGUCAUGCUGGCUGGGGCUUCUGGAAGUUGUAGUCCAAAACAACCAGAGGCCAGCAAAUCAGGAAAAAAGCUCAUUAGCAUGGCGGCGUUAAGCUGGUUAAUUAGCUGAAUGAAGGGUUUGAGAAUAUGUUCCUCAAGUAGAAGGGUUGUCCCUAAACUUGAAGGACCAGUUGUUGUUUCAAGCAGAAUAAUGUAUAAUGACUGCAAUGCUUUUUUUAAUGUAGACAGGAAGGAAUGGCUCUUUUAAGAUUUUAAGCUGUGACAGAUCUGUGGAUCACCCCUAAGCUGUUGAUGCCAUCUUUGAGGCAACAUUGACUCACGCACAUGAGGGAAAUCCUAAGAACCUGGUGUGCUCAGGGGCCUUGGAAUCGUAUUUGUCACCCCGAUCCUGCCCAUUUCUUUCUGAGGGGUGUUCAAUGAAGGUGACAUCGGCACAUAUCCAAAAUCUUUUCAAGACCUGAGCUGACAGAUCAGAUCAGAGCUUCUCCCCUUCACUGCCAAGGGGCUGGCUCUCCGCAUUGUGUGAUGCUUGGUUCGUCUUGCAAAAUAAAUACUUAAAAUGAAAA